rnacentral:rRNA from 1 species
UACAGAGGGGGCAAGCGUUAUUCGGAAUUAUUGGGCGUAAAGGGUGCGUAGGUGGCGCCGUAAGUCAGGUGUGAAAUUUCGGAGCUUAACUCCGAAACUGCAUUUGAUACUGCGGUGCUUGAGGACUGGAGAGGAGACUGGAAUUUACGGUGUAGCAGUGAAAUGCGUAGAGAUCAUGAGGAAGACCAGUGGCGAAGGCGGGUCUCUGGACAGUUCCUGACACUGAGACACGAAGGCCAGGGGAGCAAACGGG